UUGUUAGAGUUUCUGUUUUUGUUCACAUUUGGUGAAUUUCAAGUUCUUGGUUGCUCGAUUUCACAAUCAGUGUAUUAUGCAAAGUUAAUGGAAAAUGAUCUUCCGAAUCCUGUUUCUCUGCUUUUGUCAAUUUGUGACAUGGGUUCAAUGCACUGGAACGCAACCCGCAGUAGAUCAAACACCAAUGCCACACUGGGAUUCGCUAAUCUUCUCGAUGCCUAGCAGCUAUCUCCCAAUUGGAAAGGAUUGCAAGAAAUAUAGCGACUAUUACUGUCUAAACGGAUUUUAUUCAAACGGUGCAAACACAACAAAAGCCGAAAGUGUGGAUCAUAUUGCCAAUACCUCUGUUAAGAAACAGGCUUGGAUCGCUGAAUUCGAAACCCUAAUAAGGAUGCAUUGGAAGAGCAUCAACAUGUUUGACCUUUUUCGAUUGGACA